rnacentral:lncRNA from 1 species
CAGGGCUGAGUGAGGCAAGGGGAGCUCUGCUCUUGGCUCCCUUGGGUGCUGAGGUUGAAGUUAGGGAAACGGUGUGCUCCAUGGACUAGAUGUCACUGUGCCCACCACCAAGAUCCUCACCAACCUGGAGAAAUCCCAGCUGGGUGUCCACAGCUGUAAGAUUCACUGCCAAGGAUUCAGCCACUCGCUCCUGUUGCUGCUGCACCAGAUUUCCUCAGACCCCUCUGUGCCCACACGGUCUGCUUGUUGCUGUUGCAGUGUGAAUACAGGGAACCUUCCCCCCAGACAACCGAUUUUGGCAGGAUUGGGACUCAGCUCAGAGGCCCUCAAGUGUUCAGAUCAACUGCUCCAUCAAGGCCUGCAUGGAAAAGAAGGAUUUCCCCUCCCUCAGACCUUUUCCCCACUGGCCCAGAGGCUCAGGACUGAGCCAAAGCUCGCUGCUGUCCAUUGGAUGGUUCCUCUCCUCUGCAGUUUGGUGUUGGAUCAGAGCCCGUCCCUGAAAAAUCAUAACCAUUAACAGAGGUGUCUGGGAGCGAUCGCAGCAGUGAUGGGAGAUGGAAGAGCACCAGAGGGGGCCUUUGUUACCGCGAGCAAAGGAGGAGUUUGGGAAGAGCCGCUCCAAGUACUCAGACAUUGUUAUUAAUUGCUUCCUUGCUUCCUGCACCGCUGCGUUCAUCUUAGUGUGGGCUUUGCUGUGCAGCAGAAAAGAUGUCUGUUAAUAGAAUGCAUUCAGUCAGAGCUGCAAGCUGCAAAACCCUUCUGUUUGCAGCCACCUUGGGGUGCCUGCCACACAUUCCCUGAGAGGAUGAGCACGUGGGAUGGGUGCUUCCACCCAACGGGCAGCUAAUUACAGCCUGGCUCGUUAGCUGUCCUACGGGAAAUUAGUCCCGGCCCUGGGGAACACACAAACUGAAUUGUCUUCAUUUAGAUGGAUUGGAAGUUUUAGAAAAAGGAAGUUAAAGAGGCGGUGAAUAACCAUACAGCAAACCAGCUGGGUUUCAGAGGGUUGGCCCUUGGGUUCUUCUGGAGUCAUGAGUUGCUUCCAGAGCUUCCGCUUCAGGCUGUAACACCGUUCUCAUUGUGGGCUUGGUUUAUGGAGAAUAAAGGAUUCUGAUCAGCUUUCA